rnacentral:tRNA from 1 species
CAAAAAGUAGCUUACAUUAAAGCAUCUGGCUUACAACCAGAAGUCGGUUGUUUGACAACCAUUUUG